UACGGAGGGUGCAAGCAUUGAUCGGAAUUACUGGGCGUAAAGGGCGCGUAGGCGGUUGAAAAAGUCAGAUGUGAAAUUCCGGGGCUCAACCCCGGAGCUGCAUUUGAAACUUUUUGACUAGAGUACAGUUAGGGUAAACGGAAUUCCACGUGUAGCGGUGAAAUGCGUAGAUAUGUGGAAGAACACCGGUGGUGAAGACGGUUUACUGGACUGUAACUGACGCUGAGGCGCGAAAGCUAGGGGAGCAAACAGG
rnacentral:rRNA from 1 species